CAGUCGCCGCGGGAAUACGGAGGAUCCAAGCGUUAUCCGGAAUAAUUGGGUUUAAAGGGUCCGUAGGCGGUCUUGUAAGUCAGUGGUGAAAGCCCAUCGCUCAACGGUGGAACGGCCAUUGAUACUGCAGGACUUGAAUUAUUGGGAAGUAACUAGAAUAUGUAGUGUAGCGGUGAAAUGCUUAGAGAUUACAUGGAAUACCAAUUGCGAAGGCAGGUUACUACCAAUUGAUUGACGCUGAUGGACGAAAGCGUGGGUAGCGAACAGGAUUAGAUACCCCUGUAGUCCCUGUCUCUUAUAC
rnacentral:rRNA from 1 species